rnacentral:rRNA from 1 species
UACGUAGGGGCCAAGCGUUGUCCGGAUUUAUUGGGCGUAAAGAGCUCGUAGGUGGUUCGGCAAGUCAGUUGUGAAAUCUCCGCGCUCAACGCGGAGGGGUCAGCUGAAACUGCUGUGACUUGAGUCUGGUAGGGGAGUGUGGAAUUCCCGGUGUAGCGGUGAAAUGCGCAGAUAUCGGGAGGAACACCAGUGGCGAAGGCGGCCUUCUGGACCAAUACUGACGCUCAUGCACGAAAGCGUGGGGAGCAAACAGG